AUCCAGAUGACGAGUCCCAAAUAGGACGAAGUGCCCAUCCUGGAU
rfam:Trichobilharzia regenti genome assembly, scaffold: TRE_scaffold0006756